UGUCAGGUGUAUACACCGUUAAUAUACUCACGUGUUACAUGUCAUGGUGUAUGUCAGGUGUAUGUACCGUUAAUAUAUUCACGUGAUACAUGUCAUGGUGCCAGGCAGGUGUAUGUACGGUUGAUAUACUCACGUGUUACAUGUCGUCAGAUCAGGCAGGUGUAUGUACCGUUAAUAUACUCACGUGUUACAUGUCGUCAGAUCAGGCAGGUGUAUGUACGGUUAAUAUACUCACGUGUUACAUGUCGUCAGAUCAGUCAGGUGUAUGUACCGUUAAUAUACUCACGUGUUACAUGGCAUGGUGUCUGUCAGGUGUAUGUACCGUCGAUAUACUCACGUGUUACAUGCCAUGGUGUCUGUCAGGUGUAUGUACCGUUGAUAUACUCACGUGUUACAUGUCGUCAGAUCAGGCAGGUGUAUGUACCGUUAAAAUGCUCACAUGUUACAAGUCGUCAAAUCAGGCAGAUGUAUGUACCGUUGAUAUAUUCACGUGUUACAUGUCAUGGUGUCUGUCAGGUGUAUGUACGGUUAAUAUACUCACGUGUUACAUGUCAUGGCGUCUGUCAGGUGAAUGUACCUUUAAUAUACUCACAUGUUACAUACCAGAUCAGUCAGGUGUACGUACCGUUGAUGUACUCACGUGUUACAUGUCGUUAAAUCAGGCAGGUGUAUG